GCCUUCGUAGCUCAGUUGGUAGAGCUCUCGCCUCUUAAGUGAGAUGUCGCAGGUUCGACCCCUGCCGGAGGCAC
rnacentral:tRNA from 1 species